AUUUCCAAGUCUUGUCAGCCAGGAGGGCUGGGUUGCCCACCAGGUGUGGCAGGAAACUGGGGUCCAGGAACAUCUGACCUGAAUCUUAAACUGGCACGCGUUGAAGAUGUUUGUGAACUUCUAUUUUAGUGAAUAACUGCAGCUCUUCUUUCUGUUGCUAUGAAAGCAGCUACUGACACUGCAUGUUGGACAUCUGACAGUUCAUGGGCUGAUAUCUCUGUAUGUUGCCUCUCCUGAUGAUGCGGCGUUACCUAUCAGUAACAAUUACACAACAUUAACUGUGAAAUAGAGAUAAUUGCUGAAUUAUUUUGAAUAUCUUGGGGAAAAGCUCUAUAAUUGCCUGAGAUGCAACAGAAGUAUGUCGUCUGUCUAAAACAAGAAAGGACUUGAUACAGAAAUCUCUCCAAUCUGAAUACAGCACUUUUUUUUACUAAAGUGUCUUGUAGCUGAAUUGUCAUCUGGAGAGAAUGAAAAGAGUGGAGUGGAAGCGUGGAAAGGGUGGAAAAGGCUGGAUUGCUCAAUUGUGAAGCAGCACCAGGCUGAUAUAGGAUACCACUGCCUAUUAUAUCUUCAGGCAGCAUCAGGCUGAGGGUAUGAGUAUUGGGGUCACUCGAGGCAGUCACUGCCCAUGCUCACCCAGAUGAGCAGUGCAGCCAUUAUGUCCCUUCCGACAUCAGCGUUUUUGGCAGUGUCCAUGUAGAAGUGGACCAGAUCUGAUGAGCUGUCCAGCCUGGGCCUGCUGGCAGAGUUGAGACUCUGAAAUAUUGUGCAAUUCUUCCUCUCCCUCGCAUAAGGCAGGAGCCUUCCUACCUCUGUUUACACUGCUAUCUCCUGGGCAGUUUUUCCAUUCUGCUUCAGCUGCUUUCCUCAGCAGAGCCUAUUAUGGCAAUGGCAUUCAUUUUCAAUCUGGCGUAGGCAAAAGGAGGGAGCAUUUGAAUGUUUGUUCAGUCAGCACGUGUGCCUAGGACACUUCUUUCUCUGGACUACAGACUCCUGUGAAGUGCUUCCACUGACAUUCUGGCAAAGGCUGGAACAAGAAAAGGAAAUCUCCCCAGAGUUCGACCUGUAGGAUCAAACUCAUCAGCCCCCAAGUAAGAGAAACCUACUUACCCAUAAACAUGAUGGCUGCAA
ensembl:lncRNA